GACAGAGGGUGCAAACGUUGUUCGGAAUUACUGGGCGUAAAGCGUGCGCAGGCGGUUCUAUAAGACAGAUGUGAAAUCCCCGGGCUCAACCUGGGAACUGCAUUUGUGACUGUAGAGCUGGAGUGCGGCAGAGGGGGAUGGAAUUCCGCGUGUAGCAGUGAAAUGCGUAGAGAUGCGGAGGAACACCGAUGGCGAAGGCAGCCCCCUGGGCCAACACUGACGCUCAGGCACGAAAGCGUGGGGAGCAAACAGG
rnacentral:rRNA from 1 species